UAAACGCUGGCGGCGUGCUUAACACAUGCAAGUCGAACGGAGUAAUUCUCCCGAAGAUUGAGGAAGCUUGCUUCUGAAAGAUUCAUUUGAAUUACUUAGUGGCGGACGGGUGAGUAACGCGUGGGAAACCUGCCCUAUACUGGGGGAUAGCAGUUGGAAACGACUGAUAAUACCGCAUAAGCGCACAGCUUUGCAUGAAGCAGUGUGAAAAACUCCGGUGGUAUAGGAUGGUCCCGCGUCUGAUUAGCUAGUUGGUGAGGUAACGGCCCACCAAGGCGACGAUCAGUAGCCGGCCUGAGAGGGUGUACGGCCACAUUGGGACUGAGACACGGCCCAAACUCCUACGGGAGGCAGCAGUGGGGAAUAUUGGACAAUGGGGGAAACCCUGAUCCCAGCGACGCCGCGUGAACGAAGAAGUAUUUCGGUAUGUAAAGUUCUAUCAGCAGGGAAGAUAAUGACGGUACCUGACUAAGAAGCACCGGCUAAAUACGUGCCAGCCGCAGC
rnacentral:rRNA from 1 species